rnacentral:rRNA from 1 species
CCUACGGGAGGCAGCAGUGAGGAAUAUUGGUCAAUGGACGAGAGUCUGAACCAGCCAAGUAGCGUGAAGGAUGACUGCCCUAUGGGUUGUAAACUUCUUUUAUAUGGGAAUAAAAUGUUCCACGUGUGGGAUUUUGUAUGUACCAUAUGAAUAAUGAUCGGCUAACUCCGUGCCAGCAGCCGCGGUAAUACGGAGGAUCCGAGCGUUAUCCGGAUUUAUUGGGUUUAAAGGGAGCGUAGGUGGAUUGUUAAGUCAGUUGUGAAAGUUUGCGGCUCAACCGUAAAAUUGCAGUUGAAACUGGCAGUCUUGAGUACAGUAGAGGUGGGCGGAAUUCGUGGUGUAGCGGUGAAAUGCUUAGAUAUCACGAAGAACUCCGAUUGCGAAGGCAGUUCACUGGACUGCAACUGACACUGAGGCUCGAAAGUGUGGGUAUCAAACAGGAUUAGAUACCCCAGUAGUC